rnacentral:rRNA from 1 species
UACGAAGGGUGCAAGUGUUACUCGGAAUUACUGGGCGUAAAGCGUGCGUAGGUGGUUCGUUAAGUCUGAUGUGAAAGCCCUGGGCUCAACCUGGGAAUUGCAUUGGAUACUGGCGAGCUAGAGUGCGGUAGAGGAUGGCGGAAUUCCCGGUGUAGCGGUGGAAUGCGCAGAUAUCAGGAGGAACACCAAUGGCGAAGGCAGGUCUCUGGGCCAUAACUGACGCUGAGGAGCGAAAGCAUGGGGAGCGAACAGG